ACCCUUUCUUCCCCCUGGAGCGCUAUUUAGAAUUCUCCAGAACCAAAGCCCAUGGCCUCUGUGUUUUGAGAAGGGCUGCUAUGGAAAUGUUUUUAUUUCUCCCUUUCUUCAUCUCGAUGCUUGCCUGACAAGGGCGUUGGGAAUUCAGUGAAAUAAUGCACAUUUGCACUAAGUAGGUCAUCAAUACACGGUAGCCUCUCCUGUCUCUGGGUCGCCUGUGUCCUGGCUAAAUGGAGCUUGCGGUCAGAAAGUUCAUUCUGGUGUCUAAGAUGUGCCCCUCCUCCUGCAAUCGAAGGUCUUUUCUUUUCAUCUCAUCGAGAGCAGUUUAUUAGCUUCAAACAUGAUGAGGAAACCUCAUCUCGCAUAUACCUGAUUUAUAGGCCUUUGAGAGAGUGAACUUCAGAGGGCUGAGGGCUGAACGGGAGGCAGUCCAGAGGGUGGGGUGGGUCUUGGGCUCCAUCCCUGAGAUGGUUAAACCUGCCACGAUUAGCCUGGAGUAUCGGCUGGCUGGCUGGCCUCAUUUGGACAGUCCUAAGUUUGGCUGUGCCUUGUUCAGAGCCAGAUGACACGGUCCUGAAAACAGUUCCUGGAGGGGUCCUGCAGGAACCUACAGUUUGCUCUCACCUACUUGAAAUGCACGACCUACUCGUUCUCCUGGACCUGCUCUGUGUGUGUCCAGCUCAGGCUCAGCACUGUGGGACCUCUGGGCAGGCAGCCCCAUGCCUAUCUCCCUUUCACUUCUUUCUUACAGAGUCCUUCCUCCCCUGCCACCUUCCUUUUCUCCCUCCUUCCCUCCCUCCUCUCUCCUUCCCCCCCUCCCCACUUCCAUCCUCCAGCUCUGGGUGUGAUCUCCAUCUGUGACCCUGGUUUCUUGGUUGUCCCUUGGUGCAGGAACAGAGGUGUGGGGUCCGGGGGCCCCUUCGCUCCCUUCUUCCUGUCCAAGCAGCAGGGACCUGGCACAGGGUGCACGACUUCACCCGCAGCUGUUGAUUCCCAGGUCUGGGCUUCUCCUGAUCACCUGAGUCUACUUUACCAAUGACAGCCACCCCGAAGGAGGAGGUAAGGGGACAUGCAGUCAGACGGCACCUUGCACUCCUCAUGUGGGGCCUGGGCGGCAGUGGGCCUGGUCAGCCGCCCGACUGUCCAGGGAGGGGAGGAGAGAAAUGAGGACGAGGUCUUCAGAUGGUCACAUGCCCCACCGCCCAUCCCAUCCUGAGACCCGAGGGUUUGCUCCAUCAGGAGAAAGAUCUUGCCUUUCCCCUCUCUUCUCUUCACCACGUGGCAGUGGAAGGGCAGUACCCUGGAGGGGCAGUCCCCUGAAGGGGCUCACCCGAAAGGUCUUGUAAACGAAGAAGACAAAGCCCAGCUUGGUGUUUCUGUUCCGAUGGGGCCACAACCCAAAUCUGAGCAGCCUCAGCUCCCAGUACAGCCGGUGCGAGAGCUUGGCUGCCCUCCCUGGCUUCACAGCUGACCUGCUGUGUGACCUUGGGCAAGGCAGACUUGCUCUCUGUUCACCAUCUGCAGACGUGGAUGAAGACGCUGGCUGCCACUGCUCUUCCUGAGGCACCGACCGAGGCCCAGAGCUGUGCCCAGACACAGCCCGGUUCUUAGGCAGGGACGCCGCGGGGCGAAGGCAGGCUCCCGCUCCCUGGAGGCCCCGGGCGGCUCACUGGCUCAGAGGAGGCAGACUGGGCACAGAUGGUCCUUGGCAGAACGUGCGGGUCACGUUGAGAGAGGAAGCUGGCUCCUCAAUUAGAACCGGAGCAGAUGGGCCCAAGGCAGCCGGGGGACACGUCCUAGGUGUUCAGGUGUGACAGUGAGCUGGUGGCCUUCAAAGGACGGAGGAGUCACCUGGUAUCCCGUUCUUGGAGGAGGGGUGGUGCUCAGAGUGAGUCGGAUAGCCGAGUCUCCUCCCUCUGCAGAGCUGGCCUCCUGUGUGCCGGGCAGCCAUGAGGCCCGUGGUUAACACUGGACAGCCUGGACCUGGCCUGGCCUGUCCACACGCCCAUGGUGUCUCACCACUUGCAUAGGAAUUGGGGCCGGGGCAGGAGGUGUGUCAUAAAUGCAGAUUCCUGGGGCCCACCUGGAACUACUAGGUCAGGCUAUCAAGGGUUAAGCCCAGGAACCCACAUUUUAAAUAAGCUCCAGAGCUGAUUCCUGUGCUUUGGAGUUUGUGUCAAAGAGCGCAGUGACCAGCCCCUUCCUCCACCACUGGCUCUGAGCAUGAAUGACGUGUGUGCCUGGAAUGGUUUUUUGCGAGUCCAACCCCAGGGCCUAGCUUGCCAGAUAAGCGCUUUCCUCCCACUUCUCCUCGUUGAAU
rnacentral:lncRNA from 1 species